rnacentral:rRNA from 1 species
UAAGCAUAUCAAUAAGCGGAGGAAAAGAAACUAACAAGGAUCCCCUAGUAACUGCGAGUGAAGCGGGAAGAGCUCAAAUUUAAAAUCUGGCGUGCCUCUGGCCGCCCGAGUUGUAGUCUGGAGAAGCGUUUUCCGUGUUGGACCGUGUAUAAGUCUCUUGGAACAGGGCGUCAUAGAGGGUGAGAAUCCCGUCUUUGACACGGACUACCAAUGCUUUGUGAUGCGCUCUCAAAGAGUCGAGUUGUUUGGGAAUGCAGCUCAAAAUGGGUGGUAAAUUCCAUCUAAAGCUAAAUAUAGGCGAGAGACCGAUAGCGAACAAGUACCGUGAGGGAAAGAUGAAAAGCACUUUGGAAAGAGAGUUAAACAGUACGUGAAAUUGCUGAAAGGGAAACGCUUGAAGUCAGUCACGUCUGCCAGGACUCAGCCUUGCUUCCGCUUGGUGCACUUUCUGGUUUGAUGGGCCAACAUCAAUUUUGACCGUUGGAGAAAGGCUUUGGGAACGUGGCACCUUCGGGUGUGUUAUAGCCCUUUGUUGUAUACAACGGUUGGGAUUGAGGACCGCAGCACGCCUUCAUGGCCGGGGUUCGUCCCACGUA